CCUACGGGAGGCAGCAGUGGGGAAUAUUGCACAAUGGGGGAAACCCUGAUGCAGCAACGCCGCGUGAGUGAUGAAGUAUUUCGGUAUGUAAAGCUCUAUCAGCAGGGAAGAGAAAAGAAGGGACCGGAAAAAGAAGCCCCGGCGAACUACGUGCCAGCAGCCGCGGUAAUACGGAGGGGGCAAGCGUUAUCCGGAUUUACGGGGUGUAAGGGAGCGUAGACGGAAAGGCAAGUCAGAAGUGAAAACCAAAGGCUCAACCAUGGGACUGCUUUUGAAACUGUCAAACUAGCGUACGGGAGAGGUAAGCGGAAUUCCUUGUGUAGCGGUGAAAUGCGUAGCUAUUAGGCGGAACCCCAGUGGCGAAGGCGUCUUACUGGACCGCACCUGACGUUGAGGCUCGAAAGCGUGGGGAGCAAACAGGAUUAGAUACCCCAGUAGUC
rnacentral:rRNA from 1 species